AUUGGAAUUUGUUUUGCAGUCAAACAUUGAUACAAAAACAAGGGCUUCCUGCCGGAUUGAUAUAAAUAUAUAUAGACCGCUGCCUUUAGAAAAAAGGAGAGACAGAAACUGAGGGAGAAGAGGGCUGCUGGCUGCUGAAUUAUUUAUAUAUACAUACAUAGGCGGCUGGAAUUGGAUGUACAGCGCACGCAUAAAGAAACCGGGAGAGAGACGCCAACAUUGAGGAAAGAAAAGGAUAGAUAUACGUGACUUGCGGCGGAAGUGAUUAAAAUAUACACACAAAAAGCAAAGGGCUGCCAGGUUUUGGACACAGAAACACACAAGAAUUUGGUUGCCGCGGAAUUUCCUAGGAGGAAAAAUCAUAGAUACAUUCAUACAAUAUUGCGACUGCUUUGAAAAAGGAAUAGCCCAAGUGAAAAAUAUAGCCGUUAUGAGGUUCGCACAAGAGAGAGAAAAUUAAAUAUAUUUGCUUAGUGUGAUAGAUAACGGUUAUAUUUUUUAUUUUUUU
rnacentral:lncRNA from 1 species